GUAGGAUCCCUGAGGGCUUGUGAUGC
rnacentral:siRNA from 1 species